UCAUAGAAUAGCUAAUAUGGUGCUGCCGUGAAUCUAUCAUUCACAAGCAGCUUAAUAGGGAAGUUCGGUCAAAAUCCGACGCGGUCCCGCCACUGUAUCGCGGAGCAGAUGAUCAUGUUGUCCACUGUCAUAUCAUGACGGGAAGGAGAUCGUCUAUGCAAUGAAGCGAAGCCAGGAGACCUGCCAUAGGAGCGCUCUAUAU
rnacentral:ncRNA from 2 species